CACUAUGCUUAGCCCUAAACCUAGAUAGUUAACUUAAACAAAACUAUCCGCCAGAGAACUACUAGCAACAGCUUAAAACUCAAAGGACUUGGCGGUGCUUUACAUCCCUCUAGAGGAGCCUGUUCUAUAAUCGAUAAACCCCGAUACACCUCACCAUCUCUUGCUAAUUCAGCCCAUAUACCGCCAUCUUCAGCAAACCCUAAAAAGGAAGAAAAGUAAGCACAAGUAUCUUAACACAAAAAAGUUAGGUCAAGGUGUAGCCCAUGAGAUGGGAAGCAAUGGGCUACAUUUUCUAGAACUAGAACACCCACGAAAAUCCUUAUGAAACUAAGUAUUAAAGGAGGAUUUAGUAGUAAAUUCGAGAAUAGAGAGCUCAAUUGAAUCGGGCCAUGAAGCACGC
rnacentral:rRNA from 1 species